AUACGGAGGAUUCGAGCGUUAUCCGGAUUUAUUGGGUUUAAAGGGUGCGCAGGCGGCCAUUUAAGUCAGCGGUUAAAUCGUGGGGCUCAACCCCAUUCUGCCGUUGAUACUGGGUGGCUUGAUUGCGGUCGAGGUUGGCGGAAUUCGUUGUGUAGCGGUGAAAUGCAUAGAUAUGACGAAGAACACCGAUUGCGUAGGCAGCUGACCAGACCGCAAAUGACGCUCAUGCACGAAAGUGCGGGGAUCGAACAGGAUUAGAUACCCUGGUAGUCCGCACAGUAAACGAUGAAUACUUGUUUUCGGCGAUAUAAUGUCGGAGGCAAAGCGAAAGCGAUAAGUAUUCCACCUGGGGAGUACGCCGGCAACGGUGAAACUCAAAUGAAUUGACGGGG
rnacentral:rRNA from 1 species